UACGUAGGUGGCAAGCGUUGUUCGGAAUUACUGGGCGUAAAGCGCGCGUAGGCGGCUCUUCAAGUCAGGCGUGAAAGCCCCGGGCUUAACUCGGGAACUGCGCUUGAUACUGUCGAGCUAGAGUGUGGAAGGGGCGAUUGGAAUUCCGUGUGUAGCGGUGAAAUGCGUAGAUAUACGGAGGAACACCAGAGGCGAAGGCGGAUCGCUGGGCCAACACUGACGCUGAUGCGCGAAAGCUAGGGGAGCAAACGGG
rnacentral:rRNA from 2 species